UAGGGAAUCUUCCACAAUGGACGCAAGUCUGAUGGAGCAACGCCGCGUGAGUGAAGAAGGCUUUCGGGUCGUAAAACUCUGUUGUUGGAGAAGAAUGGUCGGCAGAGUAACUGUUGUCGGCGUGACGGUAUCCAACCAGAAAGCCACGGCUAACUACGUGCCAGCAGCCGCGGUAAUACGUAGGUGGCAAGCGUUAUCCGGAUUUAUUGGGCGUAAAGCGAGCGCAGGCGGUUUUUUAAGUCUGAUGUGAAAGCCCUCGGCUUAACCGAGGAAGCGCAUCGGAAACUGGGAAACUUGAGUGCAGAAGAGGACAGUGGAACUCCAUGUGUAGCGGUGAAAUGCGUAGAUAUAUGGAAGAACACCAGUGGCGAAGGCGGCUGUCUGGUCUGUAACUGACGCUGAGGCUCGAAAGCAUGGGUAGCGAACAGGAUUAGAUACCCUGGUAGUCCAUGCCGUAAACGAUGAAUGCUAGGUGUUGGAGGGUUUCCGCCCUUCAGUGCCGCAGCUAACGCAUUAAGCAUUCCGC
rnacentral:rRNA from 1 species